rnacentral:rRNA from 1 species
GACGAACGCUGGCGGCGUGCCUAAUACAUGCAAGUAGAACGCUGAAGGAGGAGCUUGCUCUUCUGGAUGAGUUGCGAACGGGUGAGUAACGCGUAGGUAACCUGCCUGGUAGCGGGGGAUAACUCUUGGAAACGAUAGCUAAUACCGCAUAACAGUAGAUGUUGCAUGACAUUUGCUUAAAAGGUGCAAUUGCACCACUACCAGAUGGACCUGCGUUGUAUUAGCUAGUUGGUGGGGUAACGGCUCACCAAGGCGACGAUACAUAGCCGACCUGAGAGGGUGAUCGGCCACACUGGGACUGAGACACGGCCCAGACUCCUACGGGAGGCAGCAGUAGGGAAUCUUCGGCAAUGGACGGAAGUCUGACCGAGCAACGCCGCGUGAGUGAAGAAGGUUUUCGGAUCGUAAAGCUCUGUUGUAAGAGAAGAACGAGUGUGAGAGUGGAAAGUUCACACUGUGACGGUAUCUUACCAGAAAGAGACGGCUAACUACGUG